GACGAACGCUGGCGGCGUGCCUAAUACAUGCAAGUCGAACGAGAGCGACCGGUGCUUGCACUGGUCAAUCUAGUGGCGAACGGGUGAGUAACACGUGGGUAACCUGCCCAUCAGAGGGGGAUAACAUCCGGAAACGGAUGCUAAAACCGCAUAGGUCUUCGAACCGCAUGGUUUGAAGAGGAAAAGAGGCGCAAGCUUCUGCUGAUGGAUGGACCCGCGGUGCAUUAGCUAGUUGGUGAGGUAACGGCUCACCAAGGCCGUGAUGCAUAGCCGACCUGAGAGGGUGAUCGGCCACAUUGGGACUGAUACACGGCCCAAACUCCUACGGGAGGCAGCAGUAGGGAAUCUUCCGCAAUGGACGCAAGUCUGACGGAGCAACGCCGCGUGAGUGAAGAAGGUUUUCGGAUCGUAAAACUCUGUUGUUAGAGAAGAACAAGUGCUAGAGUAACUGUUAGCGCCUUGACGGUAUCUAACCAGAAAGCCACGGCUAACUACGUG
rnacentral:rRNA from 1 species